GCUGGGCAUGGUGGCUCAUGCCUGUAAUCUUAGUGCUUUGGGAGGCUGAGGCAGUAGGAUCACCUGAGCCCAGGAGUUCAAGAUUGCAGUGAGCUACAAUAGUGCCACUGCAUUCUAGCCUGGGUGACAGAGAGAGACCAUGCCUCUA
ensembl:misc_RNA Metazoa_SRP Metazoan signal recognition particle RNA